GUGUCUGUGUUCUCUUUUCUGCAGGUAGUAAGACAUAAAGAACGAAAAUGAAGUAAAUCAAACAAUUUGAAGUAAGGGAACACACAAACAAACGACGAUCGGCGACAAGACCUCCAGGAGGAACUAGCAGGAAUGGAGCAAGAUCAGCGGCAGUGGAGGAACUCGCGGUUACGUGACCCGACGACUCUUGAGCUGCCAUCUCGGGAUUCCGGCAUCAACCCUUAUCCAUCGUAGAGCUGUACAGCCCCCCCAGGGACGAGACCAGACGCGCCCGAGCCAACCAGCCGCCGAUCUCGCCACGAGGACUGCAGCCACCCUGAAGCGACUGUGAACACAUUGCUUACUUACGAAUAAAAACCCAAUUACUGUAUCA